rnacentral:rRNA from 1 species
CCCGCACAAGCGGUGGAGCAUGUGGUUUAAUUCGACGCAACGCGAAGAACCUUACCUGGCCUUGACAUGCAGAGAACUUUCCAGAGAUGGAUUGGUGCCUUCGGGAACUCUGACACAGGUGCUGCAUGGCCGUCGUCAGCUCGUGUCGUGAGAUGUUGGGUUAAGUCCCGUAACGAGCGCAACCCCUAUCCCUAGUUGCUAGCAGUUCGGCUGAGAACUCUAGGGAGACUGCCGGUGACAAACCGGAGGAAGGUGGGGAUGACGUCAGGUCAUCAUGGCCCUUACGGCCAGGGCUACACACGUGCUACAAUGGUGCGCACAGAGGGCUGCAAACCCGCGAGGGGGAGCCAAUCUCACAAAACGCAUCGUAGUCCGGAUCGCAGUCUGCAACUCGACUGCGUGAAGUCGGAAUCGCUAGUAAUCGUGAAUCAGAAUGUCACGGUGAAUACGUUCCCGGGCCUUGUACACACCGCCCGUCACACCAUGGGAGUGGAUUGCACCAGAAGUGGUUAGUCUAACCUUCGGGAGGACGAUCACCACGGUGUGGUUCAUGACUGGGGUGAAGUCG